AUUGAACGCUGGCGGCAGGCCUAACACAUGCAAGUCGAGCGGGCGGCGGGCGGGUGAGUAAUGUAUGGGGAUCUGCCCGAUAGAGGGGGAUAACUACUGGAAACGGAGGCUAAUACCGCAUACUAUCGGAUGAACCCAUAUGGGAUUAGCUAGUAGGUGGGGUAAAGGCUCACCUAGGCGACGAUCUCUAGCUGGUCUGAGAGGAUGAUCAGCCACACUGGGACUGAGACACGGCCCAGACUCCUACGGGAGGCAGCAGUGGGGAAUAUUGGACAAUGGGCGAAAGCCUGAUCCAGCCAUGCCGCGUGUGUGAAGAAGGCCUUCGGGUUGUAAAGUACUUUUGGCAGAGAGGCGGUAUCUGCAGAAUAAGCACCGGCUAACUACGUGCCAGCAGCCGCGGUAAUAC
rnacentral:rRNA from 1 species